rnacentral:rRNA from 1 species
CCUACGGGUGGCUGCAGUGAGGAAUAUUGGUCAAUGGGCGCGAGCCUGAACCAGCCAAGUCGCGUGAAGGAUGACUGCCCUACGGGUUGUAAACUUCUUUUAUAGAGGAAUAAAGUGAGGCACGUGUGCCUUUUUGUAUGUACUUUAUGAAUAAGGAUCGGCUAACUCCGUGCCAGCAGCCGCGGUAAUACGGAGGAUCCGAGCGUUAUCCGGAUUUUUUGGGUUUAAAGGGUGCGUAGAUGGGUUGUUAAGUCAGUUGUGAAAGUUUGCGGCUCAACCGUAAAAUUGCAAUUGAUACUGGCAGCCUUGAGUGCAGUUGAGGUAGGCGGAAUGCGUGGUGUAGCGGUGAAAUGCUUAGAUAUCACGAAGAACUCCGAUUGCGAAGGCAGCUUACUAAACUGCCACUGACAUUGAUGCUCGAAAGUGUGGGUAUCAAACAGGAUUAGAUACCCUUGUAGUC